AUUCCAUUGUAUGUGUAUACCACAUAUUCCUUAUCAAUUCAUCCAUUGAUGGACACUGGGUUGCUUCUGCUUUUUGCCUGUUGUGAAUAUGCUGCUGUGAACAUGGAUGUACAAGUGUCUCUGAGUUCCUGCUUUCAGUUCUUUUGGGUGUGUACCCAGAAAUGGAACCACUGUAUUGUGUGGUAAUUCUGUGUGUAAUUGUUUGAGGAAGCGCCAUACUGUUUUGCUUAGCAACUACUGUUUUAAGGGGAUGUCUCAAUUACCUAACUUUUCGUAUGUAUGUCUUGCCUCUCCUCUGUGAGUUUUACAAAUGCAAUCCUCCUGCCUCUGUUCCGCUUAUGUCCUUUGAACUGGACUGGUUAAAAUUCUGGCCCUGUGGACAAGUUUGGGUUAACACCGUGGAUCGACUGGUUGGGCCAUAGUCAGCCCAGAUUCUGGAUUCAGGAACUUACCGCCAUUCUCUUCUCAACCUUACCUUUGGAAAACACAUCAGGUCCACCCAUCUGGCCGGGCAGUACCUUCUUCAAGAGAAAUGGAGCCCUCCUGCAAGGUAGGUCUCUAGGAGCGCCUCUCCCCUUCCCACCACCCCCUCUCACUGCUCCUCGGUGCUUGGUGUCAAUCAGGAGAGUUCUGUCCUGUUGAGGAGUGGGCACCCUCUGGAGAUGGGUGACUGUUGUGGGUAGGCUCUCUUUGUCCAGCUCUCUUUUAUUUCUUCCUACUCACGUCUCCUGUUACUGAGAAUUGUUAGUCUGAAACCAGGACUGCUUCUUUGGUUUAUCAUCAUUAGUUCUCAUUCCAGAAGUGUUCAGCUUGCUUUGGUGAAAUUGGAAUUACGUGGUAGUUAGGAUGUGACAGUAGCAUAAACUGGCCUGUAUUUCCAGUCCUUGGGCUAAGGAGGAAUGUUUUGGGUGUUCUGCCACUUUGGUCAUCAUGGAGGUCCACUCGUUCCUUGCUGUCCCCUGACAUCCAUGUGUGCCUGGAAGUUUGACUGUGAUUUUUUCUGAGGCUCAGAGUUCAGUCACCCCAUCGUUGUCCCCAGGAGCAUCAUUUGCACGGUGACAUCCUUCCUGUUGUCCAGCCCACCUUAGCUGCUUUGCACUAGUCCCUGUCCAGUGUUCUCAAGGAAUUCCAACUGCCUUUCACCUCUGCAUCUGCUAUUAAGUUUCUUUCGAAAUGGCCAGAUAAAAUUAAAGAAGAAUAAAUGGAUAAAAAUAGCAAUAAGAUGAAUCCUAAAUACUUUUAAGAAUUGCUUUUGGGUUAUCGCUUUUGGAUGUCUGUUUUGCAGAUAAGCUGGAAUCGGCUGGCUUCCAUGGGUCUUCCAGUUUCCUGUCCCCUUUCACCCCUGUUGAUUGGCCAGGUGUCAGAAUGGCACAACUGGCCAAAAGCAGAUGAAUUUGGUUGUACCAAGAGCUUUAGAACUAUACUGGGCCAAUAGUGGGGAGUUUUAGUGCAUUUUGGUUGGUUUAGAGCUGUGACGCCUCUUUUCCUGAAAAGUACAUUCUGAGGGCCAGCUGGGUGUGAAGGAGUAGAAUAUAAAUGUGGCUAAGAAAAGAAACAUUUAUCUUCACAUUUCCAGAGUAGCUCAAACAAUUGGGAGAGAUGUCAUCACAUUUUUGUUGUUGUUUUAUAGGCCAUGCAAUUGCAUAUUGUCUUUUUAAUAGCCUGUGAAAUCAGGAACUUAAGAAUUUCUUUGCUUUUUUGCUUUGUCCAAGUGAAAUGUAGGCAGGCACAUUUGAUCAAUCCUAAUUUUAAUGACUGUCAUAGAUAUCCUAAAUAUUUAAGAAAAAAGGGAACUGCUUCCGCUUUCAAAAAUUGACAAUUUUUUUAAAAAAUCUGUUCUCCUUUCUGAUAAUAUAAGUGGAAACCGAUUAUGAUGAGCCUUUGGGUUUUUUCCAAGUGAAUUUUGCAGUUAUGUGCAUCUUUAUUUUUCCUCUAGAUCUAUAGUAAUGAUAUGAAUAUCAUCCGUGUGUGGAUUAUUUUCAGGAAAGGGGUUUCAUUUACUUAGAGCAUUUUCAUAUGGGAUCUUCAUUCAUUAAGUUCCACAUAAGGUGAGAUUUGCUGUAAUCAGUUUUUGGUUAUUUCUGCAGGGUGGGAGCGUGAGGGGAAAUGUCCAUGAGGUUUCUAAAGUUGAGUGACUUCACUAUGAGAUUGCAUCUCAUCAGGGGUAGACUUUCUUUGUCUUUCUGAUUGGGUUAAAAAUUCUCUCUUUGUUCCAGGCAUUGCGGAUUAAAUGAUUACAGAUUUCAGAUGCUCGUUGAAUGCACAUCCAAUUCAGUGCAGCCCAUUUAUGUUUUUAUAAACGUGAAACUCAGAAGAAUCUUGCUGAGAGUUUGGGAGUGUGGGCGGGGAUGCGUUAACAAUUUUUUCCUGUGAUGUUUCUUCAUUUGCUGUAUCUGUAUGUAGAGUUCUUGAGACACUUUUAUUGCAAUAAGAUUUUUCGAACUACGUGGGUGUUCUUCCUAAUUAAUAUUUUUCUAUUCCUUUGGUGGGUGGUGUGGCUCAUCAAGAAGUUGCCGGUGUCCACGAGCAAAAGUUUUAUGGUAAAGAUAGGGGUAUAGAAAUAAGAGAGCUGCCUGGUCAUGCCGGUGAAAGGUUUAGGUAGGACUCAAGUAGAAGAAAAUGUGCCUGAUUCAUGCUCCCUGUCUCAUCUUUCCGUACUUCACACUUGCAAAAUAUGCACGCAUUCCUUCUUUUUCCCUAUAGCAAGCAGGUGGGCAUUUGUCUAGGUAAUCAGACCAGGAAAGAACUCUGUUAAGAGGUACCAGCUCCCAGCAUUGGUAUUGAAGGCAAGCAGGACACCCUAAAGAACCAGUUCCUAGGACUGGGGUAGAAGGUGAAGCUUGCUCACACAGGGUGACACAGGGGCCCAGGGACCAACCAACAGAGCCCAGCCUGACUGAGGAUCCUGAACACAGUCUGAACUGGCUGAACUGGGCCACACAGGAGUUGGGGAGAACCUGCCAUGUGGAGUGGCCCUAGGGGAUGAGACUCAAAGAAUGCAGGAGCAACACAAUAAGCAGACGUGCCACACUGUUUAGAGGCGAGAGACUGACUGUUUGUCAGGGAGGUGAGAGCGUAGGGGUUGUCACUUCGAGGAAGAAUUGACGCUUGAGCGAGGCCUUGAAAAAUAGUUGUGGGCGUGUGGGAACAGAAAGGGGAAACAGCAAGAGCGUGGAGCAUGAGAGCAUCACAGAGAGGUGGCAGUGGGGACUUGAUGUUGCAGACGGAAAAUGAGUGAUUCAUGGGCACUCUGGGACCAUGACAUCAUGUGCUCCCAGGUAUGUUUAAGAAGAACACUGUGAUGUCUGAAGAGGGAAUAAUGGAAGUUAAAACCUGAAAUCAGUGGAACAAAGUGACAUAAUGGUUCCAGUGGGAAAGCGGUGUAUGCUGUCUAAUGGUUGUUUGGUUUAUAAGCUGUUGAGCAGAAAUGUGGCACAGUAAUUUUUUUUCCAGCGUAAGACCAAUUGCAAGAAUUAACUGGAAGCGCUCGAGGUCCUACCCUAGUGUGGCCUCUGUGUUUUGGUUCUUGCAGAAUCACUGGCAAGAGGGCCUGCUGAAUCGCCUCGAGUUUUGAGGAUAAUGGGGUAAGAUUUGGUUUGGAUUACACCAGGCAUGAGUACUUAACAUAAUUGGUCAUUUCAUCAAUUCCCAGUAUUUAUUUUAAAUGCCAUUUAGGCUGCUAGGGACAAUUUUAGCGUGUUAGCAGUUUCAGUGGACUAGAGAGCACUUCAGUUCUUGUACAAUAGAAACCUUGCUGGGCGCCAAAAGGGGACAAACCCUUUGUUUAAAGGACCCAGGAAGAGUCCAGACAGAUGAGCGUGGCUUAUUCAGACGUGUCUCCAAUCGUCCCCUCUGCAUGUCUCUGUUAUGGUCUCUAUGUGUUUGAAAUACAUUUUUUAUUGUAUUAGUUAAUAAUGUCUCUGAUUUUCUUAAUUAAGAGCGUAAAGCAUUUUAUAUUUUUUGCCUUUUCCAAACUCCUAACUCCGCCCCCCCAUGUACACACACAUUGCAUACACCCAUCAAACUUAAAAUUAGGUUACUUUAUUUAAACAUCACCCUCAGAUGAAUUAUUUUAAUGAGUCGGUGAUUCCUAAUUAAUGACAUUCCUCACCCCAGGUCUGACCCUUCCUCUGGUCCCUGGAGGUUUCGUCCCAGAGCUACAUAUGGCAUCACUGUUCCUGUUCACUUCAUGCCUCCUACAGAAGGUUGCUGCAAGCAGCCCCCAAUCUGAUCUUCCACUUCUGCCCUUUUGGCCUUCAUAGGCCCUGUAGGCCUCAGAGCUCCACGUGGAGUUUGGUUCAGAGAGAAGCUGCUGCCUUUACAGCUCCAUGCCUGCUGACCAUUUGGGCCCACGUAUCUUUUUAUUUCUAGCUCUUUCUCUGAGCAGGUGUUCCCCAGGCCCACCCACACUAUCCCACCUGCAAGCAUUGAUUAUCCGUCUCUGUGUGUCAGGCUCUGGAUUAGGCUGGAGUUACCCAGGGAGGCCCAGGGCCUGCCUGCUUGUCCACUUACAGCCCAUUCUGGGGUCAGACUGUGCGGCCCAGCCUUCUUGCAAAGCUGCUCAAGCACUGAUGCCACCACUGGUCAUGCAAACCUGCCCACUUACUAACUCCCCACCCCAGCCUUCCUGGCCCUCCAUCUGCCUUCGUUUUCUCUAUGACUCCAGUAUUGGGCCACUAAUUAUCAUUAAGUCUCUUUCUGUAGGAUGCACUGGUAGAAUUAAAAUAAAUUCCAUAACACGCAUAGCAGAUUUUUAUUUCCAUUCACUUCUGACAAUCCACUGGACGAGCUAAUGAAAUGGAAAGAAGACCUUCAAGGCAUUUUUAAUGCACAGAGCAGGGUUGUGCUGCUGCAGGCCCGAAAGCAGACAGGGAAAAAGGAAACCAGAUCUUUUGCUGUCAGAUGCAUGUUCUAUGAGUGCACAGGAAGUGCCUGCCAUCGGUAAAACAUGCAUGAAGUUAUGACCACUAGAUGACUUGCUCUGGGGAAUGCCAGUUUCCAAGUUCUAGGUUGACUUCAUGUACUUACUUUCCUGGGAGUAUUAUUGUGUAUCCCCCACUCUCCACACCCCUUACCGUCUCCAUAGCUCUGCUGUGCAUUUUUACUGCUAAGACACAUGCAGUACCUCACUUUGGUUGUAUUUCAUGCCAUGAAAGGCUCAAGAGCAAGUACUCAGUAUAUCAGACACAAGUUAUAGUGGAAAGAGCACUGGAUUACAAGUAAGCAGACCUUGUUGUGGUCCCAACUCUGAUACUUGGUGAACUUUGUGACCUUGGAUGUCACAUGACAUCCCUAGGGUUGCAUGUUCUCACCUGUGAAUGGAGAAGUGGACUGCAGCAUUGGCAGAGGCUGCCUGUGGAGUACCAGCUCUAUUCCAUUCUAUCACCUUCCCUAAAAGUAGGUCAAAAUGGUCUUGGGGUUUAGCUCUACCUCAAUGCAAAAAGGGUGCUGCCUUCAGCCAGCUGUAUCUGCAGAUGGGUCUAAGGAGAGAAAAUAGGGUGGUGGCAAGUUGGCUGGAGAUCCUGAUCCUUGAACAACGUGAUGCUCAAAGGUCUCCUGGAUCUUAGGGAGGCCAUAUAUUACAGAUUUGGACAACUGGAAACAAACCUUAUCUUGGCUUCUUGGGCAACUGGCUUCACCUCUCUGUGGGGAUGUUAAUAAUAACGCUUGUCUCAUAGGGUUCUUGUGAGGAUUCAAUGAAUUCAUAUUAGUAAAGCAUCUAGAACAUGCUUUCCUGACAGAGUUAGUUAUUAGAACAUUUUACAAGACUGUGAAUCUUAGGAGAAAAGGGCUAAAAUCCUCUGAAUGUGGUCUCCCCGUGCUCUUUACCUUCCUUGCUGAAGUUUCCUGUGUCCAGUUGCUGGGGCUAGCGAUUCUCAGAGCAGGGCAGAGACUGGGGCGCCCCACAUCCUGUUGGGUUUAUACACAGAUCUGAAAGACAGUUUUUGUUCAUUUCUUCAUCUCGGAUUCCUUUUACAUAGGACUGCUUCCUUGGGAGGUCACCCAGCCCACAAAUACCCAGUUAUACCACUUGCUCUAAAAUUGUAUAUACACAGCAGGUGUGUAGACGGCCAUGUGAAAGAACACAGAGUUAACAUCACAUCCGCUUGGGUUUGAACCCCUCCAAACUGGGCACCAGCUGAUGGACUUUGAUCCUUAGUUUCAAUUGUCUUUAAAAUGGGGCUGUGAGGUAUGUCUUCCACAAUCUUUGUGAAGAUUAAAGGAGAGUGUGAACAUGAAAACAUCCAUCGGUCCAGUGCGUGGCACCUUGCAAAUAUGUGAUAAAAGUGAAGGUUUUUAAUGUUUGACUUUGUUUCCUGCCCAAGGUUUCUGAUUAUUAAUCCUGGCAGGUAUGUUCAAGGUGAAAAAGUUCCCAAACUCCUCUCCUUUGCGUGAUUUCCAUUCUCUCUGCCAGCCCCACCAGCAUUUCUGUUCUGAUAGAACCAGGAUGGCGCCACUGGACUCCCUCGUCUGCCACGGCCUCAGGUCUCCAGUCCCAGGUGCUUCUUUACUCCUCUCCGUUAAGACCCAGGAUCACAGGUUCUGUUCAGGUUUACCCUGACCCUCCCCCACUCAUUUCUUUCACAUUUGGUUGCAGCCCCCGGGCUCUUUGGCUCCUUUCGUCUAAUCUGCUCCACAAGCUGACUCUUUUGUCCAUUUGCAAACAAGGGCAUCCACCUAAUGCAUAAAUCUCCUGAUUCUUGCCCCCAGGCACACACAUUUCAAGAAAAAUAGUAAUAACAGAAAGGGGGGUGGAGAAGAAACCCUCUCUACAUUUUCCCCGCAAGUCCUAAUUGCCUUCUGUCCUCUUUUGGUCUGUGGAAGCCCUUUGGUCUUUAGGAGGGGUCCCUUUCUCUUGGCAUCGUUUGUCUUAUUGUUCUGCGCUGAGUUAUUUGUAAAGAUAUUUAUGUAACUACAAUAAGAAAGUCGGCUGGCUGUUUUGUUUACAGUCAGGUGGAUUUAAAGGGGUGCUGUUCAGCUCUUCUAAUCACUCAAGUUCUAUGUGGUCACUGAGAACAUGCUCGUAAGUUAGUUAAAAAUAUAAGGAAAUGCAACUUUAAAAGAAGCCUUUGGUCAGUUCUGAUCUUCCCUGUCUCUUAGGAAUCCCAGUUUGCCCGAUCUGCAGUUACGUCAGCUUCCCCGGCAUCUGCAGCCUGGUGUGGAUGUGAGAAGGCAUCAGUCGGAUAGCCCCUAUUUUCCUGUCUGACCUCAGUUCCAGCUGGUCUCUCAACUACUGUCUGUAGUAACCAUUUUUGUGAAAAUCCAGUGUUGUACCCUGAAUCCAGUGUUUCUUCCUAUGGACAGAAAUAGGAAGUCAGAAGGAGUUGCCGGCUCAGCUGGGGACAUGGCCUUGAGAGCAUGUCUUGAGAGCGUCCUCUGGGCCAGGCACCUGCUGGUGGGCGUGUACGGGCUGGCCCUGCUGUUUCAGGGGAGUGUCCCGGAGAAGGUGGAGACGGAGGCUGGAGUACACAAGACGGAGGUCAGGGCUGGAGAGGGAGUUUUGGAAGUUAUUAAUCCGGAAAUGACCAUUGAAAUUACAGCAUAGAUGGGAUUUUCAGGGGAAUAUAGAAUGAAGAAGAGGAAAAAUGUCCAUAUUGAAGACUUACAUUUGUGCUAGAAAGACGGGGUGGUAGCUGGCAACAACGAUAACAGCAAAGAAGCAGCUGAGUCAGAAACUGGGGGAAAAUCACUGAAAUGAAGGGCAGCAGUUUCAGAAAGAGGGGAGAGGCAGGAGCACCCACUGGCAGAGGAACCAGGGAGGAUGGGACUGAAGAAAAGCCACCUGGUGGCUCUGACGAUUAAGGUGGCACUGGGACCUUCAGGGCACAACCGCUGAUCUGCUUUCCGUCUCUGUGGACGUGCCUCUUCUGGACAGUUCACGUAGCUGGAAUCAUACAGUGUGUGCCCUUCUGUGUCUGGCUGGAGAUCUUUACAUUAUUCUUAUGUUAGCCUAUGCCUUAGGCAUUAUGACUGCCGUUUUGUAGGUGAGGAAAAUAAGGCCCAACGCUGUUGUCUUGCUUAAGGUCGCAGAGCCAGGGUCACAAACCUGAACUCACACUAAUCUUUGGUUUAAAAUGGCAUACCUACUUCUAAAUAAGUUUCCGCUUUAGAUGUCUAGAUGUUCUGCAGUGUUUUGCAGACUGAGGCUGGGGAGAAUCCUGUUAUAAUGCCUAAAAGAAAUUUAUAAUGACAAGAGAAAAAGGUAGAAAUGAACACUUCUUUGUCUUCUUUCAUUCAGGUGAUUAAGGUGCUUCAUUUCUCUUCUUGUCCCACACGUGACUACUGUAAAUAGCUCACUUUAAGAUAUUUCAAAGACUGUGGCUAGAGAAAAAGGGAAAUCCUGGAAUGAGUCAUUCAAAGGUUAAUGCAAUGAGAGGAACGCAUCCCUUAACAGAAUAUUUUAUUUGAGUCUAUCUGAAUUUUCUGCUAGUAGAUAGAUAGCUAGAUCUAGGUAUUUUUAUACUGAUUAUAAUCCAUCAAUAGGAAUACUUCCUUACAGUUGAAUUUUUUGAGCAUUUUAAAAUGUUUUUCUUGUCUAUUAAAUUGUAUCACUUAGAUUGUAAAAUAUAAAGCUUAUACAGCCUUGGACCAUGUUGUGCUGCAGAGCUGGCUUUUAUCAAAGUGCUCCAUCUUAAAGUACAAUUGGAAAAGUCCUUCCCCUUGAAGUUCUGUUUAAGCGUGCUUGGAUGGAAGUCUAGAAGUAUUUCCAUACAAUUAUCACGAGGCUUACAAUGAAGAAGAAUUUUUUGGAAUAUACUCUAAGCAAGCUGUUCACACGAGUCCCAGAAGUGAACUUCAAAGCAUCCACCUAUAAACUGCAAGAGGUCAAGUUUGUGUUCUUGUUUGGUUCCCUUGACGACCAAAAGGUGUGGCUGAGAACUCCUGGGUAGUACUCGCUGCAGUGUGUGGGAUAGCUUAGGAGUCUAUGUAUGUAAUUGUGUGUGUGUGUGCAUGUGUGUAGGUGUGUGUGUGUGCAUGUGCAUGAGUGAAUGUGGCUCAUGGAUAAAGGCUGCUUGAUUUAUCACUGCUCGUUGUGGGUCUGCAAGAAUAAAUCUCUCCUGCCAUCCUCCUGCCCCUGUUUCUCUGGUGUUUCCAUGCCACCCAGCUCUCCUGUUGG